AUUUUCAACGAUGGAUAUCUAGGCUCCAAUAACGAUGAAGAACGCAGCGAAGUGCGAUAAGCAAUGCGAAUUGCAGAACCGCGAGUCAUCAGAUUUUUGAACGCAAGUGGCGGCAGCCUCGGCUGUCAUGUUUGUUUCAGUGUGUCCGGUUAAUUACAUCAAAGAAUAUAAUGUGAUUGAAGAAAUUCUCUCACAAAAUAUGGAAUAAUGUCAAUGAAGACUCCAAACGAAAUAGUCACUAAAUGGUGAUAGUCGUUUGAGGAUCAGAAUUGGUGAAUCAUUAUUCAAAAACAAAUUAUCCAAUUAUGGCACCUGAAAUAAGCAAGAGUACCCGCUGAACUUAAGCAUAUCAGUAAGCGGAGGAAAAGAAAAUAACAAUGAUUACCUUAGUAGCGGCGAGUGAAUAGGUAAAAGCCCAAGAUGUUAAUCUGCUAUAAAGUAGUAGAAUUGUAAUCUAUGGAGUAGCUCGGAAGGUUGAGACUCAUCAUAAGUGCCUUGGAAAAGGACGCCAGAGAAGGUGAAAGCCCUGUCUUAGGAUGAGUCGAGGCGAUACGAGAUAUUUCUAAGAGUCGGGUAGUUUGGGAAUGCUGCCCUAAUUGGGAGGUAAACUUCUCCUAAGGCUAAAUAUUUAUUGGAGACCGAUAGCAUACAAGUACUGCGAAGGAAAGAUGAAAAGAACUUUGAAAAGAGGGUUAAAAGACUUGAAAUCGUUGAAAAGGAAGCGAUAGAAGAGAAAUGAUUCCCUGCCAAGUAGUCAAUUGAGCUAAGUUACGCGGAGGAGAAUAUCUAACAGAGUUCUUGACGUGUAAUGAAAAUCAAGGGGCAGUUGGCAGGAGAAAGGCAAGAUGAGGUGAGAUUGUAAGAAUAAGGUGAAGAGUGUAUUCUCGAACCAAAAGUUGCAAUCUUGCCUGAGGGAUCAGAUGAUGAUCUUGCCAAAAUGGCUUUUAUCGACCCGUCUUGAAACACGGACCAAGGAGUCUACCUAUUAUGCGAGUGUUAAGGUGGAGAAACCUAAACGCGUACCGAAAGGGAUGUAAGAUGUGAGGCGCAAGCUGCAACAUCAACCAAUCUUGACUCUAUGAGGAAGGACUUGAGUAAGAGCAUAAUCGGUAGGACCCGAAAGAUGGUGAACUACGGUUGAAUAGGGCGAAGCCAGGGGAAACUCUGGUGGAGGCUCGAAGCGGUACUGACGUGCAAAUCGUUCGUCAAAUUUGACUGUAGGGGCGAAAGACUAAUCGAACCAUCUAGUAGCUGGUUCCCUCUGAAAUUUCUCUCAGGAUAGCAGGAACAGAUUAUGCAGUUUUAUCAGGUAAAGCUAAUGAUUAGUGGACUCGGGGGCCCCGUGCUCUUGACCAAUUCUCAAACUUUAAAUUGGUAAGAACUUCGAGUUAUCUUAAUUGAACUCGGAGAAGGAAUGCGUUGUUCUUAGUGGGCCAUUUUUGGUAAGCAGAACUGGCGAUGAGGGAUGAACCUAACGUCGAGCUAAGGUGCCCAAAUUCACGCUCAUCAGACACCAGAAAAGGUGUUGGUUAGUAUAAACAGCCGGACUGUGGCCAUGGAAGUCGGCACCAGCUAAGGAGUGUGUAACAACUCACCAGCCGAAUUAACCAGCCCUGAAAAUUGAUGGCGCUAAGCGUGAUACCGAUACUCGACCAACAGGGCAAAUAGAAGCCUUGUUGAGUAAGAGGGCGUGAACAUUGUGUAGAAGGCUUGGACGUGAGUCUGGCUGGAACAAUGUUUAGUGCAGAUCUUGGUGGUAGUAGCAAAUAUUCAAAUGAGAACUUUGAAGACCGAAGUGGAGAAGGGUUCCAUGAGAACAGCAUUUGAUCAUGGGUUACUCGAUCCUAAGACAUAGGGAAAUUCCUUGUAAUAUAUGGGUUCUUACGAAUCCGUUGUCAAAAGGGAAUGAGGUUGAUAUUCCUCAAGCUGAAUACGGAGGUUUCGUGGCAACACAAACAAGCUUGGAGACAUCGGCGUGUGCAACUGGAAGAGUUAUCUUUUCUUCUUAACAAUCUAUCUCCCUGAAUGGAUUAUCCAAAGCUAGGGAUGUAUGGUUGGCAGAGCAGUUCACCAUCGAACUGUCAGUGAUGCUCAUGACGAUCCUUGAAAAUCCAAGUACGGUGAUCCUUUCGUAUCAGGUCGUACCCAUAACCGCAUCAGGUCUCCAAGGUUAGCAGCCUCUGGUCGAUAGAAUAACGUAGAUAAGGGAAUUCGGCAAAUUAGAUCCGUAACUUCGGGAAAAGGAUUGGCUCUGAGGAUUGGGUGUUUAGACCCCUACUUGGACAGUGGAAUUGAGCUAGGACUUGCCGCAAGGCAGGACCUAGUUUUGUGAAGCUAGAAUUGUAGGGAGUUCUUGCACAAGUAACAAUCGACUCGGAACUGAAGCGGACAAGGAGAAUCCGACUGUUUAAUAAAAACAUAGCAUUGUGAUGGCGUGAAAACGUGUUGACACAAUGUGAUUUCUGCCCAGUGCUUUGAAUGUGAAUAUGAAGUAAUUUGUAGAAGCUCAGGUAAACGGCGGGAGUAACUAUGACUCUCUUAAGGUAGCCAAAUGCCUCGUCAUCUAAUUAGUGACGCGCAUGAAUGGAUCAAUGAGAUUCUCACUGUCCCUAUCUACUAUCUAGCGAACCCACAGCCAAGGGAACGGGCUUGGAAU
rnacentral:rRNA from 1 species